CGUAGACCAUGAACAUUGUUAAAUAAGUUUAGACUAUUGCAGAUUAACAUAAAAUGAAAUUUGCUCUCACUCAGGUGUGUCUCAAAGAAUAUUUUGCAGAAUAAAUAUUCAUCUAGCCAUAACAUAUAAAUGUAGACCGGAAAAUGGUUUUUGGGCUGAUCAACAUAAUUUAAACCUGAAGCUUGUGAUCCGAAGCUUCGAGAACUUUUUAGUUAAGAACCAUACUUACCGAAGAAUGUGUAUUUACAGACUAUUACUGUUUACUACUAACUAAAAGAUUGGACACGCUGUGACAUUCCAUGUAUAUGGAUUCGACUAUUGCAGAUGUAUACACACAACGCCGAAUACUAUUUUCUACGUUUAUUCAUCCGUAUAGAAAAAGAUAUUUGAUAGUCUUAACCUCCGUAAGCUGUGACAAUAAGUUUCUGGAAAAUAAUAGCAUGCAACGAUCUCGAGUUUAAUUGAAUUGAAGUUGAAAUGAAUGUUUGAAUCCGUCGAAUAGAUGUUCAGCAUCAAAGAACUAAAUAGGGAUUGCAUAAAUAAUAUAAAAUUGAAUAAAAAAAAAUAUGCAUUUUAUAGAAUAUAAUACUUUAUUAAUAAAAGAAUAUUGUAAGUACUAUUACUAAUAAUUAGGCAAUUU